rnacentral:pre_miRNA from 1 species
ACGUAGGGCAAUCUGUCUUUAAGAAGGGGUGAAUUACUCUUUAUAAGAGAAAAAUUCCUAGAUAGCUUCCCUUCAAGUCAAGCAUCUUGU